CCAGACUCCUACGGGAGGCAGCAGUGGGGAAUAUUGCACAAUGGGGGAAACCCUGAUGCAGCAACGCCGCGUGAAGGAAGACGGUUUUCGGAUUGUAAACUUCUGUUCUUAGUGAAGAAGAAUGACGGUAGCUAAGGAGCAAGCCACGGCUAACUACGUGCCAGCAGCCGCGGUAAUACGUAGGGGGCGAGCGUUAUCCGGAUUUACUGGGUGUAAAGGGAGCGUAGACGGCGUCGCAAGUCUGAAGUGAAAGCCCGUGGCUCAACCGCGGAACCGCUUUGGAAACUGCGAGGCUGGAGUGCUGGAGAGGUAAGCGGAAUUCCUGGUGUAGCGGUGAAAUGCGUAGAUAUCAGGAGGAACACCGGUGGCGAAGGCGGCUUACCGGACAGUGACUGACGUUGAGGCUCGAAAGCGUGGGGAGCGAACAGGAUUAGAUACCCCAGUAGC
rnacentral:rRNA from 1 species